CACGUAGGGGGCGAGCGUUGUCCGGAUUCAUUGGGCGUAAAGGGCGCGCAGGCGGCCCGGAAAGUCGGAUGUGAAAACUCGGGGCUCAACCCCGAGCGUGCACCCGAUACUGCCGGGCUUGAGGCAGGUAGGGGAGAUCGGAAUUCCUGGUGUAGCGGUGAAAUGCGCAGAUAUCAGGAGGAACACCGGUGGCGAAGGCGGAUCUCUGGGCCUGUCCUGACGCUGAGGCGCGAAAGCUAGGGGGAGCGAACAGG
rnacentral:rRNA from 1 species